rnacentral:misc_RNA from 1 species
UCGCGGCUUAUCACCGGCAGUCCCCUUAGAGUGCCCAACUGAAUGAUGACAACUAAGAGCGAGGGUUGCGCUCGUUGCGGGACUUAACCAAACAUCUCACGACACGAGCUGACGACGGCCAUGCAACACCUGUCACCCUGCUCAAUAAAGCACUCUCGCCUUUCGGCAAAAUUCAAGGGAUGUCAAGCCCUGGUAAGGUUCUUCGUUUAUCAUCGAAUUAAAGAACACGAUCCACCGCUUGUGCGGGUCCCCGUCAAUUCCUUUAUGUUUUAGUCUUGCGACCGUACUCCACCGGCGGGAUACUUAACGCGUUAGCUUCGCUACUGAAGGGGUCGAUACCUCCAACAGCUAGUAUCCAUCGUUUACGGCGUGGACUAC